GACACACAGGAAAGUCCAGGACAGGAGGAUAGGACCUUGGGUAGUGACUCCACUUUUCUGAGUUCAUUAAGUGUGGGUAGUUCUGGCAUUGAGAAACGAGGUGGGGGCUGGGAGCCCUGAGUGAUAACUAACUGGGAGUUAUUUCCAGAGCUGUUGGUUUUAGAUCUCGGACUUGUAUUGUUCCAUUUCCUCCUGGCCCCGGCCUUUCAAAGCUUUUCCUGGGAGUUUCAGCUGCCUCGUGGGUUGUGUGUCUGUGUCCUCUCUUGAAGGAUGUGCAAUUCUGAAAGCCAGCAUGUGCCCCGGGGAAGUCCUGAGACAGACCGCCAGGAAGUGAGCAGGACUCAGAAGGCCAGACAAGAAGAUCUUCUUGGGCGUUGCUGUCUAGGUUCCCAGUAUGAAACUCAAGUCGCCAGGUUGGCCUGAGCCUGAUUUCCAGCAGACAGUGACCUUGGACUUCUGGUCUUCCUGCCUCUCCCCCCUACCCCAGCCCUGGGAUUACAGGCGAGCAACUUCCUUCAUGGCUUAUUCAGUGCUGGAGACUGAACACAGGACUUUGUUUAUGUUGCGUAGGUACUCUACCAACUGAGUCACGCCCCCCAGCCCCACGGAAGGCUUGUUUUAGACCUGGAAUCCUAGACUAGACAGAGAGAUCUGUCCGUGGUGACAACUGGGGCUCUGUUCUCCAGAUCUAGGCAAGCCCGGAGGAGAAAGCAGAAAGAAUUUUGGUGCUCAGAGUGAAGUUGACCUGGGUGUGGGGGGUUGGGCUGAGCCAUCCAGCAAGGCGAAGGGCGUGGCAUAUCUCAAUAACUAAGAAAGCCACACCCACUUAGUACCUACCUGUCCUGGAUACGGAAGCGGGCACCACCGAAGUUCUCCCCCGUAGUUGCAGGCUAUGUACUGUUGUUCUCUCCUUGUAUGGAUGAGAAGCCAAGGCCACUGAGGUAGCAGAGCCCACGAGGGUCGGGCAGCUAGUAAACACAGCACGCGUGGAUGCUUAGAGCCAGAGGGGAAGUUAUCCCAGCGGCCUUCGGUCUGUCUCAUACCCUUCUGCUUCACAGAGCUUGGGAAACACUAAUCGAUACUGCGAUCCAUACUCUUCUCCGCAGCCAGAGAGAAGUUUCUGGAAGCCAGCUCUGGUAAAGUCUUGCUUCUAGUCACAAAGUCUCUGUGGCGCACAGCGACAGUCUACACAGGCCUGGCAGGAGUUGGCAGACAACAUUAGCCUCUGCUGAAAGUCUCUGGCUACACUAGUCCCCUGGACUUCUCCUGGACCAGACACUCCCUGCCUUUCUCUGCUAGCUGAGGUUUGCUCCAGGCAUCUGAGGAAAUAUCCUUCCAUAGCAUUAUACCUGCCUUCUCCCCUCCCUGGUUGAGCCUAGAGUUCCCCUGCAGACUUGGGAAGAGUGUGGCGUUGGUUUGGCCUGGUUUGAGCAUCAGCUGACAUUUACUGAUAUGUGAUACACAGAUUUUUGAUCUCAGCUUUGUGCUUUAUGAGGACAGGUAAACAAACGUAUUAAAGCUCAGCCAGGAGUUGCUUUCAAUGGUAGCAGUACAUAGAUGCGUUUGGAAACUGUGUCGUGAUCACGGUUGGCUCUUUCGAAGCUGUGCAACAAGGGCAAGUUGCUUGACCUCUCUGAGCCCAGGCCUUCCUGUCUGUGAAAUGGGCAUCAUGUUUGUGCCUGCCGCCCAGGUCAGCAAGGACUCAAUGAGACACACCAGGCAAAGGCAAACACACUUCCCAGUUCUGCCUAAACUCCAGGGUGGGGGCAGCCCUGCUGGGUGGGGCCCUUUGGAAGAGGCAGGUGGUGGAGGGCAGGUGUACAUGGGCCGUGUGGCUCAGUGAGCUAUGCUGAGACUGCCCCAGUGUUUGGUAACAGGCCUGGGUCUUCUCUCUGGUCAAGUAAAUAUUAUAAGAAAGGGUUGUCUCGAAGGAGCCACUCCCCCCUUGAGGGCCAAAGUCCUCAGGAAACGGUCUGGAGGCUCCUUUUAUGUGACUGUAAAGUAAUCCAGGGCCUGGCAGGGUCGAGGUUGGGUGGCUCUGACGCGCAGGGUGGCAUCCAAAUGGUCAAUGAUUACCUUUUAUACUUGGCCAUAAAGACAACCGCCUGGUGUACGGACAGUUACUUUAUAAGGUGAAUGUCUCAGGAAGGUGUCGUAAGUACACACAC